rnacentral:rRNA from 1 species
GCCGAUUCUAAAAUUUAUAUGGAUAUAUCUGAUCCCAUUUGAUCUCGGAAGCUAAGUAGGAUUGGGCCUGAUUAGUACCUGAAUGGGAGACCAUCUCAAAAGACCAGGUGCUGUUGGUG